rnacentral:rRNA from 1 species
CACGUAGGGUGCGAGCGUUGUCCGGAAUUAUUGGGCGUAAAGAGCUCGUAGGCGGUGUGUCGCGUCGGCCGUGAAAACCUGCAGCUUAACUGUGGGCUUGCGGUCGAUACGGGCAUCACUGGAGUUCGGCAGGGGAGACUGGAAUUCCUGGUGUAGCGGUGAAAUGCGCAGAUAUCAGGAGGAACACCGGUGGCGAAGGCGGGUCUCUGGGCCGUAACUGACGCUGAGGAGCGGAAAGCAUGGGGAGCGAACAGG